GACGGGGGGGCGGUCACCGGUCAGCUAGCGGCGUGUGGUCGCCACACACCCCAAAUCCUUCCCCACGCCUCCUACUCAAGGCAACAUACGAUCCAUCCAUCCAUCCACAACCCCCACCAACCCAAGAAACACCGCCGGCCGCAGCCACCAAGACCCAUCCAUGGCGACCCUGUUCUCCGCAGCCGCUGCCACCUCGUGCCGUCUCACCUUCCCGCUUGCCGCGCCGGCGCCGGCGCCAGGCGUUG
rnacentral:lncRNA from 1 species